UACGUAGGGUGCGAGCGUUAAUCGGAAUUACUGGGCGUAAAGGGUGCGCAGGCGGUUUCACAAGCUAGAUGUGAAAGCCCCGGGCUUAACCUGGGAAUUGCAUUUAGGACUGUGGAGCUAGAGUGCGGCAGAGGGAGGUGGAAUUCCACGUGUAGCAGUGAAAUGCGUAGAGAUGUGGAGGAACACCGAUGGCGAAGGCAGCCUCCUGGGCCGACACUGACGCUCAUGCACGAAAGCGUGGGGAGCAAACAGG
rnacentral:rRNA from 1 species